GACGAACGCUGGCGGCGUGCUUAACACAUGCAAGUCGAACGGAAAGGCCCUGCUUUUGUGGGGUGCUCGAGUGGCGAACGGGUGAGUAACACGUGAGUAACCUGCCCUUGACUUUGGGAUAACUUCAGGAAACUGGGGCUAAUACCGGAUAGGAGCUCCUGCUGCAUGGUGGGGGUUGGAAAGUUUCGGCGGUUGGGGAUGGACUCGCGGCUUAUCAGCUUGUUGGUGGGGUAGUGGCUUACCAAGGCUUUGACGGGUAGCCGGCCUGAGAGGGUGACCGGCCACAUUGGGACUGAGAUACGGCCCAGACUCGUACGGGAGGCAGCAGUGGGGAAUAUUGCACAAUGGGCGGAGGCCUGAUGCAGCAACGCCGCGUGCGGGAUGACGGCCUGCGGGUUGUAAACCGCUUUCGCCUGUGACGAAGCGUGAGUGACGGUAAUGGGUAAAGAAGCACCGGCUAACUACGUG
rnacentral:rRNA from 1 species